ACGCUCGACACCUACUGGAGGCAGCAGUGGGGAAUAUUGGGCAAUGGAGGAAACUCUGACCCAGCAACGCCGCGUGAAUGAUGAAGGUCUUUGGAUUGUAAAGUUCUUUUCUAAGGGACGAAGAAAGUGACGGUACCUUAGGAAUAAGCCUCGGCUAACCACGUGCCAGAGCCGCGGUAAUCUGAGCGGGCUGGCAAGGC
rnacentral:rRNA from 1 species